rnacentral:lncRNA from 1 species
GUUGGGCACUGUCUCCAGACCACAGAACAGGUGCCACUAUCUUAAAGGACCUUGGCCAGGGGGAAAGUGCUAAAGAAGAGGAGUAAGCCAAGGAUCUUGGUUCUCUGACCAGGGAUCGAACACAUGCCCCCUGCAGUGGAAGUGCAGAGUCCCAACCAGUGAACCACCAAAGAAGUCCCCACGUUUUCACUUUAGAAAGACAUCUCAGGUAUUGGCAGACACAAAGGCCCCCACCCAGGUGGAUAACUUCAGGAUUCCUGGAGCAUCACCCUGUUACCUCACUACCAACCAAUCAGAAGAAAGUCACACCUCCUGCAGCCCUCACCUAAAUUUUGCCUAUGAGAAUUCUCCUAACAACCAUCAGGCUUUGUGAAGAACACACCCAUACUGACUAGGCCACAUGCUGGCUUACAUUGCUCUACUUCUGAGUUAAAUGCUCCAAGGCUUAAAUUUCAGUUCUGUGCCCGCCCUCAACAAGAGAUUGAAUUUUUCUAUCUCUGUUUCUUCAUCUUGAAUCAUGAUUUAUGAGAUGCACCUCCAUCAAGGCCGUGAAGACACAACAAAGCCCAAGGGCUCUGCAUGAUGCCUGGUCCAUGAUAAGUGCUUUAUAAGGGGUGGAAAUUACCAUGAUCAUUCUGGGUUCUCCAAACAGACAAACAUUUUUUUGACUAACUGGCUUGUGACAUGGAUUGUUUCUUUCCAAUUUAAGAUGCUUUCUUUUCACAGAAGUUUAAAAAAUAAUAAAAGGGUAAUUACCAUUGGGUAGGUAAUUACUAUGCUGUGCUUGCUCUAUGAUUAAAUAAAAAUGUUUUGCAUAUAA